rnacentral:rRNA from 1 species
UACGGAGGGUGCGAGCGUUGUCCGGAAUCACUGGGCGUAAAGGGCGCGUAGGCGGCCUGAUAAGUAGGGGGUGAAAGUCCUGCGGCUUAACCGCAGGGCUGCCUUCUAAACUGUCAGGCUUGAGCACAGUAGAGGCAGGUGGAAUUCCCGGUGUAGCGGUGAAAUGCGCAGAUAUCGGGAGGAACACCAAUGGCGAAGGCAGCUCGCUGGGACGGUACUGGACGCUGAGACGCGAAAGCGUGGGGAAGCAAACAGGGAUUAAGAAACC